rnacentral:rRNA from 1 species
AGAGUUUGAUCCUGGCUCAGAGUGAACGCUGGCGGCGUGCUUAAUACAUGCAAGUCGAACGUGAAAGUCCCUUUCGGGGGGCGAGUAAAGUGGCGCACGGGUGAGUAAUACGUAGAUAAUCUACCUUGUAGUGGGGAAUAACACUGGGAAACUAGUGCUAAUACCGCAUAAUCUGCAGACGACCUCGGUCGUUUUCAGUAAAGAUGGCCUCUGCUUGCAAGCUAUCGCUAUAAGAUGAGUCUGCGUCCCAUUAGAUUGUUGGCGGGGUAAUGGCCCACCAAGUCUGAGAUGGGUAGCUGGUCUGAGAGGAUGAUCAGCCACACUGGAACUGGAACACGGUCCAGACUCCUACGGGAGGCAGCAGUAGGGAAUUUUGCGCAAUGGGCGAAAUGCCUGACGCAGCGACGUCGCGUGUGGGAUGAAGGGUUUCGGCUCGUAAACCACUGUCAGAUGGGAAGAUGGGGUACGUUUAUAAUACAAACGUAUCUUGACGGUACCGUCAGAGGAAGCACCGGCUAACUACGUGCCAGCAGCCGCGGUAAUACGUAGGGUGCAAGCGUUACUCGGAAUCAUUGGGCGUAAAGGGUGUGUAGGCGGAACAGUAAGUCAGAUGUGAAAGCCUUGAGCUCA